rnacentral:lncRNA from 1 species
CAUUUUUUAUUAAAUAUGCCAUUUUGGAGCUAACUAAGCUAAUUAUGUCAUUUAGGUGGAAGCCAAGCUAACUAUAGGUCAUUCUAGAGCUAACUUGGGUUAAAUAUGUCAUUUUGGAGCUAACUAUGCUUAUUAAGCCAUUUUGGAGCUAGCUAAGCUAAUUAUAGGCCAUUUAAUAGCUAAUUUAGGGGGAAUAGGUCAUCUUGGAGCUACGUAAGCC